UUACCACUUUACCAAUUGUAACACUACGUUCUCGUAUCACUGAGUAAUGGGAAAUCUUUUCCGGUUGCUUAGAAAUGCCAACUCAGUAAUAGUACAUUACUGUCUCGCUGGGACAUUUUUAGGUUGUAGCGUGUGGGAAGUGUGUAUUUCGAGCCGAAGGC